rnacentral:lncRNA from 1 species
AAGCCUUGAUAUUUCGACUACCAUUAAGGAAUCUGCACCAGGGUUUUGUUCAGUGUAUGUGAUUGCAAACAACAAUGUAAAAUCUGUCCGACCAGCUUUACUGCCUGCAGCUAAUCUGUCCAAUCUUCAAAAUACAAAUCAGAAAAUUCCAUCUCAUUUGUUCAACAGAGCACUUUGAAACAGAGGAAGAAGUCAGGUACAUAAUAAAAAGGAAUAGAUAGUGUAGACUUAAUUCACCCAAUAAAUCUAGUUUUUCUGUGAACUCUGUGUGUCAUUGCUUCUUGAAUUGGAUAGCUGAAGUUUAGAUGUGAAAAGGAAAUACGCGGGGAGGGAGAGAGAACUGAACAAAAAUUAUUCUGAUAUCUUUUCUAUAUAAGUUUUUUUAGUCAUUCUUUUGAACUUCUGAUGAGUACGUCACAAUGGUUAUUAGGGCAGAGCAGAGAAGUCCAUUAUUUGAGAGUAGGAGGUGCAUGAAUAGAUUGGCUAAUUUGUUGAAUGGAUAUAUUGAUCUUUCAGGGGGGAGAAGAAUUCAUCUAGCCGUCAUUCCCUAGGCGGUGGUUCUACCACUUCAUCAGAUUCUUCCAUGGUGGAAACUCACUCAUUGUCUUCUGUAAGUGUAGAAAACAUGACAGUGAUUUCCAUAUGAAAUGGCUCAACUUAAUGGCUGACAUUUUCAAUUGCUCUCGGUUGGCAAAAAGAUAUCGAAGCCGAGUUGAGAAGAUUAAAGCUUGAGCUGAAGCAAACCAUAGGCAUGUAUAACACAACUUGCAAAGAAGCGAUUACAGCCAAAAAAAGGUAACCUUACACAUCAAGGGAUCUUUUGAUUAUGUCCUGUAAAAAUGAUUCCUUUUUGUUUCAGUUUCAAACAAAGAACCCCAUGAUAAAAUUUGUAAAAAAUAGGAAAUGUUGAGCACUGGUCUAAGGAAGUUUCCUGGGAGAAUUGUAGCCAUGAGCUUGUGGCAUCAACUUAUCACAGAAAAGAUGUAAAUUUUAAAAUCUUAUAUAUACACUAAAUUUCAGGUUAAAGAGAUUCAUCAAUGAAAAAUAGAAGAAGCUCGCAUGUUUGAACAAACACAACUUGCUGAAGAGGCAGCUCUUGCCUUGGUGAAGAUGGAAAAGGCUAAAUGCAGAGCUGCCACCAAAGCAGUUGAGAAGGCUCAAAAGCUAGCUCGUAUGGAAGCAGAGAGAAGAAAGUAUGCAGAAUUGAAUGCCAAGAGAGGCAUAAGCAAAGACCCAAGCACCUUGAAAGGUAAUUUUGUGAUCGUAAAAUGAUCUUGGGAGGAUACUUAUAGAAUUCCUAGAAGUUUGUCAAUGAACUACGAGAAAUGUUGGAGAAGAAGCCAGCGUGAUACAUGUUACCGUUGUAGUCCAAAUAAUCUUGUACAAUGAUGUAUCUUUUUUGUAGUUGAGAAGGAGGAAGGAGUCUAAUCCAUGAUUUAUAGUAAGAUAUAUGAAAUGGAUGACUGAUUUUUAUGUAACAGACUUGCAGCUUCUUCAUGUUUGGUUAUUUUAGUUUAAAUAGAAGAAAUCCUUGCAUUUACUGUAGAUGCUGGCUUCAUGGACUUAUAGAAAAUUGGCAGCUGAAGACAAUAGCUAUAUGGUAGGAAAUAGCACUUGCUAAAGCUCUGCAGGAGGAAGAAUUGGGUAAGGGGGAGUUCUAAGCAAAUAAGCAGUUAGAAUUAAAAUGCCGAGGGGCGUAAGUAGUACCAGUUGCAGGCACUUUCCCCAUAGCACAUAAGCAAAAUAGAAUCUGUAACGAUCGAGAAAUUCGGAUUUAAUUGUAAAAUAAUUUUAUUGAAUUAAAUAAUAAAUAGAAUUAUAUUCUAUGUGUUAUCAAGAUGGUUGUCAUUGUAUAACCUAAUAAUGUGGGAAUGUCGUAGUAUUUUAGCUACGUGAAGGAAUUAAAGUGUUUAAAUUUUCAAGACAAAAAUAAAAGGUUUUCGAGAAAUUUUUUGAAAAAUACUAUUCAUCGGUAUUUUGCUCGGGAAUUAUUUUUGAAUUUUCGAGAAAUACGUAAUGAUAGAAUGUCAAGGUAAGAUGGAUUAUGUAAUAAUAAUCUAAGUAUGGAAAACGCAAUAUUUCGUUUGCGGACUUAAAUUGAGAACGUUAAGGAAAGGGAAGUAUUAAUGAGUUAAGUAAUAAUCAUAUGAUACAUGAGUAUUGUACUAGGUAAUGAAUAUGAGUAUAAUACAAGGUAUUAUACGAGUUUGUAUGAAUCAUGGUAUAUUGUAUAUAACGAAGUUAUAUACGAAUUAGAAUACGGGAAUAAUACGUAGAGAAUGCGUCAUAUAUAUUGAGUAAUAGUAUUGGACUUAUAGAAUUUGUUAGGAAUUUGUACAAGCCUAAGUGAGUUAAUGGUAAGGCCCAAAUGUUAAUUAAUGAACAAUGUAAUGUUUAUUAAUGCAAGCCUAAAAGUUUAGUAAGUUAAUCCAAGCCCAAGUUAGGAUCCAAUGAGUUUGUAGUGACCCAUGGGGCAAACCAUAUUAUUAUGGUUAAUCUUGGUAAUCAAGUAUUAUGUUUGAUGACCAAGUAUUAUGUGUGAUGACCAAGACUUAGGUGUAAUGGCCAAGCAAUAGAUAAAUGUUGUGCUUAACAAGUAAUGAAUAGUAAGGAGGUGACUUAAGGAGGUGGGAUGGUAUAUUAACUAAACUACCCUAACCUUGUGAAUUUUAUAAAUAAGAGGAGCUUGCUAGUCAUUUGAUAAUUGUUCAAAUUAUUCAACAAACUUAUAAAGUGCUUAAGUGUUAGAGAGAAUAAGAUACUUCCAUUUGUGAGAAGAAGAAGAAGACUUAUUCCAAAGAACUUCAAGGGUAAGACUUCUUGUCCAUUAAUCUUCUAUCUCUACCAUAAUAGGUUGAUAAGAGAAGUAGGGAUUAGUGAACAUGGAUGUUAAGAAGUAAGAAGAAGGAUUAAUCAAUGGACUUAAGCCGCAUAAGUCGGAAAUAAGUCAUUUAAACUUGCAUAAGUUAUAAACUUAUGAAGAAGCUAUAUGAACUUGUUAUAAGUUGACCUUAAGAAGUUAGUAUGAAAAAGAAAUUGUAUGAACAGGUAUCAAGUAUACAUAAAUGAAAUUAUAUGUUGAGAACAUAUAAAGGAUGAUGAUUAAAAGACUUUAAUUAUCAUAAGUCAUGAGUAAUAAAGCUAUAAGUAGUUUGUACCUUAAUAAGUUAUAAGCUCAUGUAAGAAUAAGUCAAAAAUCCAACAUGAAAAUAAGUUGUUGUAAUAAGUAUGUUGAGAUGUUCAUAUGAUGAAUUGAAUUCAUUUGAAGAAAUGAAUGAAUCAUAUGUAAUGAAGAUUUGCUAGAAAUUGCACAAUUGGACGAUAAUCGUCGAAUUCGUGAAAAUCUCGGAAUAGAAGUUAAAUUUUGUGUUUGAAUUCGGAAAUGUUGGUUUUCGAUGGAGACAAGUCAUAUUUGGCAUUAUAGAGUUGCGAACUCAAAAAUGACCGAAUUCUAGCUUAGAACGAAGAAACGAGCAUUGAACGUUCACGAACGUUUAUCGGUUCCGUUAGAAAUGAACCAAUAGGUGAAUUUUGAGCAAAAAAAGUUUAAAAUAUAAAAUUAUUGCAUGAACACGUAGAGUAUGUAAUUUGUGAACCGUAGGCUUUUGAACGAGCCAAUUCAGAUUUAUAACGAAAAAGUUAUGAGCCCGGGAAGUUCUCAAAGUUGACAAACUGUCAAAUUUUUCUGGUGCACAGAGUUGGUGUCGCAGCACCAGCCUAAGCGUAAUUCAUCGCGCCGCAGCACCGUGAAUAGUAUAUGACCUACUGAGGAGUGGCUCCACAGCGCGGACCACUGGGUAAGGACUCGCGCCACAACGCCAAGUCCGAGACUUUGCUACUGUAUUCUCGCGCCGCAGCGCGACUUAAAGAUAGUAAGGAAUGUGUAUAAGUACACAAGAAAGAUAAUGUGAUUAAUUCAAAUUGAACUUACCUUAAGGAACUUGAAGUAACAUCGUUAAACCUUAAGGAUAGGAUGUAAAGGUUGAUGAUAACAUAUUCAAUUAUGAAUGUAAGUAUAAUGACAAGCCAGAAUUAAUAGUAAAAGAAUCUAAUACAUGAUUAGAUUGAGAAGAAGGGUAAGAUAUAGUCAUAUAAUACUUGAUUAUAUAUGACCUAAUGUAUGGCGUUAUGUAAUCAUGUGUUGUAGAGACUUGAAAGACACAAACAUAAAGUAAUUAUACCGUAGUAGACUCUAAAGGCAAGUAUUCUAACCCUUGUCUCAGUUCAAUCUGAACAAGCUUUAUAAUUCAUGUAUCCUUACGCAUGAAUUAAUGUAUGAUGGAGUUAAAGCCAAUUCUUUCGGCUGGAUUUAAUGCAAUUGGUGGAUUAUUGAUAAUCUAUCCAACUGUUAUCAAAUGUUGUUAUCUUUUGUCAACUACUUGAUAUGGUUUUCAAAAGAAGACUGAGUAUGAUAAACAAAUGUUUUGUCGUCAUACGACAAGCACGUGAGGUUGCCACAAAUUAAACGUACAUACGUUUAAUGAAUGUAGUGUUGAUCAACAUAGAGUACUAUAGGUUGAUCACCUAGAAGUGCUCGUAAGUAAUACCGGACUUACGGACUUAGUGCCGGGUUGUCCUUUUAAAGAAAGAAUGAAAUACUCAAGGUCUUGGACCGGAGUUUAUGUUUUAUUGAAUAUUAUUCAUUGUGAAACAGUUUGAAAGAAAGAUGAAGUGUUAUUUUGAAUCAUCAAUAGUACUUCAUAACUAUUGUUUAGUUAUUGAAUAUAUACGAUUCUUUUGUGUCAAACAUGUUAUUGAAAUUGUCAUACUUGCUGAGCUAGUUAUGCUCAUUCUUGCUUGAACCAUAUGAAUGUAGCUAAGACUAAACAUCCCGAAAGAUCGAAUAAGGAUAAAGGAAAGGCUAAGGAAGAUCGUUAAGCUGUCUAUGUAAUAGUGUAGGUUUAUUAUUGUAAUGUAUGUGAUAUUAUGACAAAGAACUUUUGUAAUGGGUAUAGAACUUGGGAAAUGUAAAUAUUACUUUGAAUAUAUAGAAGACAUGUUUGUUCUUUUGAGGCUUUUCAAUUGAAUGAAUGUAUGAAUGGUAGUACCGUAUAGCACCAUAUGUCGGGUUGGAAGAUACCCAGAUUUGGGGGCAUUAUAGGUUGGUAUCAGAGCCUAGGUUAUAAAACAUAAGGGGGAAAUUAGAACCUUAAGUCAUAACCUUAAGAAAAGUCAAAGAAGUAAAAGAUGGAAAGUAACCCUAUAAAAAUGCAUUAUAAUUAUAUUAUGUAUUUUUAUUAUUCUAUUGACGUGUACUAAUCAAACUAAAUUGUUUUGUUGUAGAUGUCAGAAGAAAAUGAAAUGUAUAGAGAUAUACAUAUAGUAAGCGAGGAUUCGGUGAAUCGAGUAGAGAUCUUACCAAAUCCUAUAGCAGUAGAACCGGAAGUGGUGACAAUUGAGUCUGGAGACUCAGACAACUUAGACUACAUGUCUGUGUUUGAUGGCAUGUUAGAGGAAGAGGUGGAUAUGGUGUCUUUUAACCAGGUAGCACCUACAGAAGAGUUGACUUCGGGGGAGUCAAUGAAGGCAUUAUGCAUGUCAGUAUUGGAUAGAAAUGUCCAGUAUUCUAAGGAGUUAAAGGAGUUAGAAGA